rnacentral:rRNA from 1 species
AUUGAACGCUGGCGGCAGGCUUAACACAUGCAAGUCGAGCGGGGUGAUGGUGCUUGCACUAUCACUUAGCGGCGGACGGGUGAGUAAUGCUUAGGAAUCUGCCUAUUAGUGGGGGACAACAUCUCGAAAGGGAUGCUAAUACCGCAUACGUCCUACGGGAGAAAGCAGGGGAUCACUUGUGACCUUGCGCUAAUAGAUGAGCCUAAGUCGGAUUAGCUAGUUGGUGGGGUAAAGGCCUACCAAGGCGACGAUCUGUAGCGGGUCUGAGAGGAUGAUCCGCCACACUGGGACUGAGACACGGCCCAGACUCCUACGGGAGGCAGCAGUGGGGAAUAUUGGACAAUGGGGGGAACCCUGAUCCAGCCAUGCCGCGUGUGUGAAGAAGGCCUUAUGGUUGUAAAGCACUUUAAGCGAGGAGGAGGCUCUUUUGGUUAAUACCCAGAAUGAGUGGACGUUACUCGCAGAAUAAGCACCGGCUAACUCUGUGCCAGCAGCCGCCGUAAAAC